rnacentral:lncRNA from 1 species
GAAGAUAGAUUAAAACUACAAUUUAGAAAUUAGAGUAAAAUGAGUAAUUUAAACAAAAACUUGCAAAUCAACAAAGUUCUUAAAUAACUGAUUGUCAGGCGAAAAUAAGAAGCAAAAAACGUGAUAUAUAGUCCCCAAAACAAGAGAAUUGGUUAGAAGGGGUUGAUUGUGAUGAAUUAGGAGUCAUUCAUUAUAGCAACGACUUCGUUCGAUCGGUCGUGGAGUCAGAGUCAGAGUCAACUAUACUUGUGAAUCGUAACAUGGAUCUUAAUAUAUAAAGAUAGUUUUAGAAGAAAACAACAAGAUCAUAAAACUAUUAAAAACAAUCGGGAUACUUCUCGUUAGAGAAUCUACACAUCACCGAAAAAAGAAGAGAAAACAGAAAGAAAAUUAAAGAGAAAAUACGAAGAAGAAAGGCGUAGCCUUCCCUUUGCCUCUGUUGACUUGCCGUUUGUAUCCUUUUCCUCUGUUAACCAGAACCAGAGAAAGAUAACACGGAACCGAGCUAACUUCCAUUAGCCGUAGCUCGAAAGCUUCUUAACGUCGUCGUCUUCUUUUUCGGUGUCUUCCUCCAUAUCUCUUUCUCUUCCUUAGAUUAUUUUUAACAAGGAGAGUUAACUGUUAGUGUUUGCUUUAGUCUUCUACGUCUAUCUUCACCCCAUUUAUAAUGCUUCAUCUGGUCCCAUAUCCAAACUUUAUCUUUAGAAUAUAUUAUUCUUAAUUAUUGUUUAAACAAUGUUUUUAACAUGAUAUAUGUCUUGCUAAGUUUUAUUUUUCAGUCCAUGGAAUCUUUUUGAAAGUUAUACCUAACGUCGGUAAAAAUUUAAUAAACAUUUUAAUAACGUGCAUCUACUUUUAAAAGAAAUCCAUUUGCAUUAUUGCAUAAUAGAUUAAAAAAAACAAAACAAAAGAUGUUAAAGCAUUCGUCUGCCCGAAAGAGUUAGUUCAAAUGGUUUGAUUGAAUUUUUUUCUUUCUUUUUUACGUAAAACGCUUGAUCUUAAAAUUUCAAGUUAAAUUUGAACCAUGGUAAAACAAAGUUGUCGAAUAACUUAAUUAUACUGCAAAUUAAUGGUCUGAACCAUAGUGUCUGAAGCUAGUGGAAUAAGAUAAUAUUCAGAAAAAAAUUAUGACAAGAAGUAUCGAGGUGGUUUCUGCAGACGGAUGGAAUUAUUCUUUAAUUAUUUUUUCGUCGGCAUAGUUUUUGCUAUAUUAAUCUUCCACUUGUUAGAAUUAUACUAAUAUGUUAUACAAAUUUCGCACAUAAAUUAUUGUUGUUGUUACUGUUUAUCGUUAAUACUUUUUCUUGUUUAUUAGUAGGGCUAGUUUGCUAAAUAAACAAAAAAAAUUGAAGUUUACUAGUAAAAUGAUUAAGUGGUAAUCAUAAAUAAGUGAUUUAUUAUGUAAAAGUAGAAUAGUAUGCCAUUAGAUAAAAUAUAUAACACGCUAUUUAUCUAACAUUCACAUAAAAAUCAAAAAAAUUUGAAAAGAAAAAAUUCGCAUAAACUCAUGAUUCUUUUUUGCACAAAAAAAAAACUCAUGAUUUUUUAUAAAUAGUAAAUUCAAAAUAAAUAUACAGUGUUGUACGUUGAUGUUGUCACCGCGUCAAUUUUGCAAAUCAACCUCUAGAAUUUGGCUAUCUAAUGUACCUUUAUAACUGUUUUUUUUGUCACAUAUUACUCAUAAACUUAUUAUGAAACCAAUGAAUUAUAAUACUAAUAGUAAGUAAUCAGGUAUAGUGAAAAUACAUUUGUUAGAUAUUACUUUUGAAACAACUUAUAACAAUAGAUUUAUAUAUUUUCCAAAAAUUUACACAGUCGUUAAUUCUAGUAGGUGGAUACGUUUGAUGGACCAUUGCAAAAUCAAUACGACAAUUAUAUGAUUUAUAACAGUAGUUUAAUUUUCGUUUAGAACUUAAUUAUAAUUAUUUUUUUGGUAGGGUAGAACUUAUAAUUAUUAAAUUAAAGAUGAAUUUAGUUAUCGGUAACAGCUCAUAAAACUCUUUUAACCUGAAAAUCUAAAAGACCAAACAACUCAAACAGAUUCUAACCGAAACAUAUAUAGAAACGAUGAAUACCCAUAGAUUCUAGCUCUUGGUUAUAAAUAUAUGAAAAUAUGAAAACACUAGCAAAUAGACGACACAUAUCAUUUUCUUCUCUGAUUUCAUAUCUCCCUUCGUCCAAUAUUCUUUUUGGACUCUUCGUCCUAUAUUAUAUAGUAAUGUCGUCAUCUCCACUGUCAUACGAGGACCACUUACCCCAUCAGCUCAACCCACUAAUAUUGAGUUUAUCAGUUUGACAAAAAUACUUAAAAACUUUCCACAAAAUAGCAAAAAAAAAAAAAAAAAGAAGAAGUGGGAAUUAGUUAUUUACUCUUUCACUUAAUAAAAGUUAUAAAACUAGGAUAACAAAAAAUUGACUCUUUUUUUUCUUCUGAAAGUUUAUGAGAACUUUUUCAGACGACGUUUUAGUUAACAGUCUUGGUUAAAUAAGAGACUCUUUGAUCAAAGCAGUUAAGAUCAAUGCUUCUUUAGGCCAUUUAAAAUUUUUUAAUGUAAACAUCAAUUUUAAAAAAUUUGUCGUGAGUGAGUAAAAGUCACGAUACAAAGAAGAAAAUUCAUAGUUGAAAAAGAAAAUAAAGUAGUGAUGAGUGUGAAUAUAAUUAUACGAGUAACACAUAUAAUUAAUGUGUAGGCCGCCUUUCUUUCUUUAUAUAGGAUAAAGCUCUUUAAUUUUCAUAAUCAUAGCAUGUAGUUUCUUUCAGUUGUCUCUGAUGCCGGAUUCGUAUAACCGGUUUGAGCCUUUGUCUAAAAAACAGUGAUUUUGUAAGAUAUUUUACAUAUAAUAAAGAGACAUUUCAGUGAAAAAAAAAAAAGCUGUUUAAACCGUUUUAUAUAUUACAAAAAUAGAAAUGGACAAAUAAUUGCGUCGAAUAAGCACUAAUUCCAUUAAAGUGGGAGCUAGUAAGCACCAAGCACACUAGUUCAACUCAUCAAUUUAUUCUAUUUAAAUCAGUAGAUAAAACUUGUUUUAAUUCCUCAUUGAGAAAAGGUUUGUCCACUUUAGUUAAGUCUUAUCCCAAAUAGCCUUACUUUUUACUUUUCUUUUAAAUUAUGAACAGUAUUAAAUUCAUUAUUCAAGACACAAGACACUAUGAAAAUAAAAAAUAACUCCAUUAAUUUUUAUUUAAAUAAUUCAUAAAUAUAUUCGACUUUAUACAAAAGUGUCUGAAAUUUAUAAUUACCUAAACAAAUAUAUAUUUUCUCAUCUUUUUAAAAUAGCAUGUAUUAUAUGAAUUUCAAUUGGAAUGACGACACAACGAUAAUAUUAACAUGAAAAAAAUAUGAUUUUUAUUUAGAAUUGCCAACAAAAAUGAUUUUCUUUCUAUUUCUGUCUAAAAAACGGAAGAAUAUAUAUGUUCUCUCUUUUAGAAAUUGAUUCCAUCGAUCGACACAGCAGCAACGUGAUUGUCACAUGUCGUAUUAUUAAUGUGGUGAGCGGAGGAUUAUCUAGUAGAACUUACUAGUGAAAGAGGAUAAUGAUUUGGUCUACUAUUCCAUUAGGACACUCAUUCAAAUAAAAAAUACUCUACUUUGACACAACCAAUGAAGAAUUAUGUUACUGCAGUGAAAUCCCAAUUAGAAGGAAUCUGAUUUGACGUGGACCUUCAAGACACUUCCACGAAUUAAACUGCAUGUUCUUAAAUGCUUACACGUGUACUUCUACAUUGAUCUUCUCAAAUCCAGAUGUCUCCAUCUUCUUUUUAUAUAUUCACAAUCCAAAACACUCCCAAGAAUAGUAGUAAUCCACAACAAUCAAAAGUACCAAAUCUUCUUUUCUGCUAGAUUUUACCUAUCAUUCGCCAAGAACCAGCUAUGGCCGUCCGAUCAACAGUAAGUAACCUAAUACGUCGUCGCUUCUCUAUAAUUCAAUUGGUCUUCACGGUUUGACUUUUAUCAUUUUUGUGUUUGAAGGGUCACUUGAAAAACGUAGUGCAGAGGUUAAGAACUUACACGACUACAGCGACCGCACAAGGACCCAAACCGUAUUCUACGGCAGCAACUGAGUACGGUGGUCAGAGAACCGCCACCACAACGGCAGCAACAAAAGGUGACUUCACACCAGUUUACGUCUCCAUAGGAUUGAUUUCAUUGUCAGUAUCAUUCGGUGUCUACACUGCUUAUCUUCAUCUACACGAAAACCCUAGCGUGCGUGUCAACAAGAAGACAAGAGAGACUGUUCC